GAACAUGUUCCCCUCGACUUUGUACAGACAGUUAGAUUUAAACAUUACAUUAUCAAUAAUAAUCAACGCCACUAGUCACCGAGUCGCGAUGUUCGCGCGUACGACCCGCGAAAACCGUUCGCGGUUUUUUUCCGACGGAUGUCUGAUCGGUGAUCGCGGUUUUCAAAAAACGGACCGACGUCCGAACCGAACGCCAUUGUUAUUAUUAUUGUUAUUAUUAUUAUUAUUAUUAUUAUCAUGUACAUUUUAACGAGUUCCUUUCCCCCGAACCUCCAACCGCGCCCCGUCUGCCCCCGGAUAAUCGUUUUCCCGUUAUUGCGUCGUCCGCUUAUUAUUAUUUUGUAACGCGAAAACGCCGAGUCGCACCAUCCCCCGUAAUACCGGGCGAAACGUUUAUUACAGCGACGAUAUUACCGCGACGAGACUAUGUUUUUUUUUUUUUUUUUUCCGUUCCCCCCCUCUCCCCGUCAGCCGUUAUCGGCACGACGAUAAUCUCGUUGUCGCCGCGCCUAUGACACGUCCCCUGCAGCCGUUCACAUAUUUAACGCGUACUAUGAUAAUAUUGUCGUCCGCGACUGCGUUUAUUUCGUUUUUAAUCACGAACACGCGUUUCCCGUGUUGUUGCAACGCCGCGCGACCGGAAAUAUUAUGCGGAACGGAACUCGACGUGAUGCCGUUGCAAUAUUUCGUCCGUCUGUUCGGUUUUUUUCUUCCGUCAUUGGAUCUUCCGGCCGCCGCCGCCGCCGUCGAUUUUAACGUUUUCGUUUUAUAUUUGUACAUAGAAAAAAUAUUAAAAUACUAUAAAUUGUACAAUAUAUACGUAUACAAUAUUGUAUAAUACAAUAUACAUAUAUACGUAUAUGUUAUUUGUGCGUGUACGUGUUGUGUGUGCGUGCGUGUGUGUGUGUGUGUGUGUGUGUACAUUGUAAAUAUUUUAUAAAACGUUAGACUAUACUGUAAUAAUGUUUAAGGUUAGGGUAUAAACACUAUAAUUAUUGUAUACAAAGUGCCAAUCCUAUUAUAAUAUUAUGUAUGUAAAAACUAUAUGAUAUGCCCUGUAUUUUUUUUUUCUCCCUGUAUCCCUGUACAUACC